rnacentral:rRNA from 1 species
GGGGCGGAUGCUAGACAUGCAGUCGAACGGUAACAGAAAGCAGCUUGCUGCUUUGCUGACGAGUGGCGGACGGGUGAGUAAUGUCUGGGAAACUGCCUGAUGGAGGGGGAUAACUACUGGAAACGGUAGCUAAUACCGCAUAACGUCGCAAGACCAAAGAGGGGGACCUUAGGGCCUCUUGCCAUCGGAUGUGCCCAGAUGGGAUUAGCUAGUAGGUGGGGUAACGGCUCACCUAGGCGACGAUCCCUAGCUGGUCUGAGAGGAUGACCAGCCACACUGGAACUGAGACACGGUCCAGACUCCUACGGGAGGCAGCAGUGGGGAAUAUUGCACAAUGGGCGCAAGCCUGAUGCAGCCAUGCCGCGUGUAUGAAGAAGGCCUUCGGGUUGUAAAGUACUUUCAGCGGGGAGGAAGGGAGUAAAGUUAAUACCUUUGCUCAUUGACGUUACCCGCAGAAGAAGCACCGGCUAACUCCGUGCCAGCAGCCGCGGUAAUACGGAGGGUGCAAGCGUUAAUCGGAAUUACUGGGCGUAAAGCGCACGCAGGCGGUUUGUUAAGUCAGAUGUGAAAUCCCCGGGCUCAACCUGGGAACUGCAUCUG